CGAGUGUGUGGUUUGUGUUUGAGUCAGAUUUUCAUACUGUACUUCUUUCCUCCCACAGAUACAUGUGUCAUAUAUCAAUUAAGCAAGGAAGAAAACACUUCAGGAAGUGCUGUUACAGGAAAAUAACCAACGACUGAAUGUAGAAAGACAAAAAAUGGAGCUUGUCAUGUUACUGAGAAACCAGCCUGCUGAAAAAUCCAGCUUGGUCUGACCAGCUACCAGUUGCCAAAACACAGGCAUGCUGGUACCGUCUUUUCCAGUUGCAGAUCUUUUGGUAGUUUGGUGUUUUGGAGCACUCAAGUGUGUGUCUACACCAAGCCAAGAAGAAAGGACAUCAGCCAUGACCCUAGAGAAGCAAUUAUUGCUGCUCUUCAAUCUGGAAGGGGUUAUAAGGCCAUCUCCAAACAAUUUGAACUUCACCACUCAACAGUGAGAAGGACUGUUUACAAAUGGAGAGCCUUCCAGACAGUUGCCAAUCUACCCAGAAAUGGGCGUUCCAACAAAUUCAGUCCAAGGUCAGACCGUUUAAUGCUCUGAGAUAUAAAGAAAAACCCAAGAGCUACAUCAUGUGACCUGAUGGCCUCUGUAAGCACAUUAAAUGUUUAUGUUCAUGACAGCACAAUCAGAAAAAGACUGAAAAAGUACGGAAGGGUGGCUAGGAAAAAGCCCCUUCACUCCAAAAGGAAUAUUUCCAAAAUUUCUCCAAACCAAUGUGACGACUGAAAAACUACAGAAAACGUUUACUUCAAGUUAUUGUCGCUAAAUGUGGUUCUACAUGUUACUGAAUUAUAGGGUAUACAUAUUUUUCCCACCUGGUUUCUAAAUGUUGGUUUACUUUUUGGGAAAAACAAAUACUACAUAAUGAAAUCUGUUGUUUUUUUUUUGGUUGUUGUUGUCACUUGAGGUUAUUUGUU